AGCUGCUCAGCCGUGGCCCUUGGGGUCAGUGUGACCCAAGCUGGAGCCAAUGCUGGGGAGGGGCCGGUCAUCCAUCCAGGCUGCAGUUCAUCCUCCAGACCAGGGGCGGCGCUGUGGAGUAGAGGCAACAGUGCAGGCUGUCCAGGGAGUGUCAUGAACAAAACAGACCGCAGUCCCCGCACCGAGGAAGACGUCACUCCAAGAAGGGUAUUAAAUAAGAUUUUUUGCUACCAGGAAUCCAACUCAGCACCUUGCACUUGCCAAGCAGGUGCUGUGCCACUGAGCUAGGUCCCUGGCCCCGUUCAAUAAAUUUGAAAGCAGCAUAUA